GGGACCCGGGCCGGAGGGGGCGGGCCGCGAGAGGCUCCGCACGGAGCGCCGCGUCUCCAAGCCGGCCCGAUCUGGUCGAGCGCCGAGCGAUCGACCCGCCGUUGCUAGGCGACCCGUGCUGCGGUGCACGCGGCGUGAGCAUUCUGAAUCCACGAAGUUCUCAGAUCCCGGGCUUCGCGUUUCGCGGCUCGCUCCUAACAGGGAGGCAUCCAUGGGUCCACGCAAACCCGAAAUUUUCGAAAUAAAGGGCUUAACCAGGGAGUUGGCUGUGUGGCCCCGAGGAAUUGGGAUUCCAUCCCCAGUGUUUUUCACCGCAUGUGACGCCUGAAGGUUGCCCAAUGGUGGCUUUAGGACUUUGUACAAAAGUUCUCAUUUUGCUCUCCGUUCCUUACUGCAUGCCAGGCGCUGUGCUAAAGGCUGGGGCGUACUACGAAGGCUUUAAAUAUUGCAGGAAAAUGAUUCUGAACUUAAUGAAGAGUGGACAUGGAAACUGCACCACACCUUCUGGUAUCUUCCAUUACAGCAGAACAGCAGACCCAGGGAGUCUUCCUGUCAUCCAGAAGAUAUUUACUAAAAUACGUCUCAAACACAGAGAUAGAAAACAAGACACCCGAAUCUGCCUUGGAUAGCUUGCAGCUUAGUGGGGAAUUCACCAAUGCAGAAGUAAGCAAAACGUUUUGGAUGAGAAGAGGGGUGAGGUCAAUUUCUGUAAUGUGUUCCUAGCUUGACUUCCCAUAAGGAGAGAGCACAUUCCUAUGAGGGAACUUAUCACUGAAUGGGACAGGUCACACUGGUUUCCUUGUCUUGUUGAUCAGAUAGAAAUGUCAAUCACACUGCAAAGAGGUGCCACAGCAUUCCCUAAAAUACCUGGGGCCUAGAGAACGGCCACCUGUGUUAAUGUCCAAACACUUGCAACAGGUUUCAGCACCUGUUUUUUGUUUGUUUGUUUGUUUGUUUUGGCAAUAUUGUUAAGCACAGAGAUGUAAAGAUGAAUUGGAAAAAUCAGGUCAGAUAAAUUUAAGAACUAAAACUAUCAUAUUUACAUAGAAGAAAAUAUAGCACAAAACAAACUAAAAAUUUACAAAUUGAAUUUCAUCAAAAUCAAAACUUUUUUUCUUGAAAAGACACUGUCAACAAGAUGAAGAGGCUAAGAGAAAACAUUUUUAGAACAAACACAGAAUUUGUGUUUGUGUCUAUAAUAAAUAACCUUUUAAAGUCAAUAAGAAGACAAGCAACUCAGUUUUUUAAAUUGUGCAAAAUAUUUGAACAGCCACUUCACUAAAGAAAAUAGGUAAAUAGUAAUUAAGCAAACAAGAUGUGCAGCAUCUUUAGGUAUUAAGGAAAUGCAAAUGAAGCACUGGAGGUAACAUUACAUGAAAGGAAAGUGACCACAACACUCAGAGCGACCAAGAGAUCUUUAUUGCAGCAGUGCAAAGGGGGAGGAAAAAGAGAAAGCGAGAGAAGAGACACAGCAAGAGAUAGAGCAAGAGAAGAAAGAGAGGGCAAGAGCAAGAGAGAGGGGCCCAGCAGGAGGGAGUUUUUAGCCAAAAUCUAAUGGGGUCUUUGGGUUUGCAAGCUGCCUUGUUGGCGUACAGCGAUUGGAUAAUACAGUAGUUGCUAAGGGUGUCAUCUUCUGCCUUCAGGCAGAUGGGGCAGGGGUCAGAUGUGGGUUUCUCUUGUACCAGAUGGGUGGGGGUCGAGUGUUCAGCCUUGAGUGGGGUUGAGUGUUCAGACUUGAUGCAAACAGGUGAUAAAGGACCAGACAGAGUGGGGUUUGGGUGUGUGGGCUAUCCUGCAGCUAACAUUUGUUCAGCCUGCCCUGCACACAACUUAGUUCAGCCUGUCCUGCACCUAACAUUACACACCUUCUACAAAUGGAAAAAUUAAAAAGAACUACCAUAACAAGUACUAGUGUAUACGUGGAGCAAAUUCCUGGACCCCUCACACAUUGCUAACAGUACACAAACUGCUCCAGCCCCUUUCAAAAACAACUUGACAAUUUCUUAGACCAUACAAUUCAGUAAUUACACUCCUAGGUAUUUACUCAAGAGAAAUAAAAACAUAAGUACAAAAGCAUAUACACAAGUGUUCAUAGUAGCUUUAUUCACAGUAGCCCACAACUGGAAACAACCCAAUGUCUAACAGCUAGUGAGUGGAAUAAUUAUAGUGUAUUAAUAUUGUGGAAUCUGGGCUGGGGCUGGGGCUCAGUGGUAGAGUGCUUGCCUGGCAUGCAUGAGGCCAUAUGUUUGAUACUCAGCACCACCUAAAAAUAAAAUAAAAAAUAAUAAUACUCCUACACAACAAUAAAAAGAAACAAGUUAUCAAUACCUCUAUGGAACUCAAAAAACUUUAUUAGGCAGAGAGGAAGAGCAUGAGAAG
rnacentral:lncRNA from 1 species